rnacentral:rRNA from 1 species
GUCCACGCCGUAAACGAUGGAUACUAGCUGUUGGGAGCAAUCUCAGUGGCUAAGCGAAAGUGAUAAGUAUCCCCACCUGGGGAGUACGUUCGCAAGAAUGAAACUCAAAGGAAUUGACGGGGGGCCCGCACAAGCGGUGGAGCAUGUGGUUUAAUUCGAUGAUACGCGAGGAACCUUACCAGGGCUUAAAUGUAGAUUGACAGGUUUGGAAACAGAUUUUUCUCGGACAAUUUACAAGGUGCUGCAUGGUUGUCGU